rnacentral:rRNA from 1 species
CCUACGGGAGGCAGCAGUGAGGAAUAUUGGUCAAUGGACGAGAGUCUGAACCAGCCAAGUAGCGUGAAGGAUGACUGCCCUAUGGGUUGUAAACUUCUUUUAUAAAGGAAUAAAACCAGGCACGUGUGCCUUUUUGCAUGUACCCUACGAACAAGGAUCGGCUAACACCGUGCCAGCAGCCGCGGUAAUACGGAGGAUCCGAGCGUUAUCCGGAUUUAUUGGGUUUACAGGGAGCGUAGAUGGGUUGUUAAGUCAGGUGUGAAAGUUUGCGGGUCAACCGUAAAAUUGCAAUUGAUACUGGCAGUCUUGAGUGCAGGUGAGGUAGGCGGAAUUCGUGGUGUAGCGGUGAAAUGCUUAGAUAUCACGAAGAACCCCGAUUGCGAAGGCAGCUUACUAGACUGUGACUGACAUUGAUGCUCGAAAGUGUGGGUAUCAAACAGGAUUAGAUACCCUUGUAGUC